AAGACCCUCCAGCGCCACUGGUCAAUGAGGUAGCUGAAGGGGAUAAAGGCGAUCUUAUCAAGGGCCAUCUUCAUUAGAAAGUUGAUGUCAUACUCUGCCAAGAGAAAGACAGAAGGAACGCAGCCUCAGGCCUGACCUGAAGUCCUUCCUGUUGUAGAAGUCCCAGGCAGAGGCGUGGCACACCACCUCCCGUCCAUCCGUUGGUUUCUCCAGCAUCGACUCCGCCCAGAACUCAGGAGGCAUGGGUGAGAGCCCCAGCGAGGUGAAGAACUCCUCUGAUACCCGGAACAUGUGUGUGGCGUUCCAGCCCUGGCCAGCAGGCGAGGAAACAGGAUCCUUCACUAAGGGGCACAGGCUUCCAGGCUCACAGAAUUCAUGUCCUUAGUUAUGGUCUACAACAAGGCUGCCGCUAAUCCUGACCCUGCAGCCAAAGCCAUCGACUUGACCCCUAGCUCUGCUCCAUUCAAGUUCUCUAUUGGCUCUAAAUUCUUGCACACCCUAAAUAAACCUCCAUGUCCGCGUCUAUAAGGCA
rnacentral:lncRNA from 1 species